CAAUAGCGUAUAUUUAAGUUGUUGCAGUUAAAAAGCUCGUAGUUGGAUUUCGGAUGGGACUUGCCGGUCCGUCGUUUCGAUGUGCACUGGCCAGUCCUAUCUUGUUGUCGGGGACUAGCUCCUGGGCUUCACUGUCCGGGACUAGGAGCUGACGAGGUUACUUUGAGUAAAUUAGGGUGUUCAAAGCAAGCCUACGCUCUGAAUACAUUAGCAUGGAAUAACACGAUAGGACUCUGGCUUAUCUUGUUGGUCUGUGAGACCAGAGUAAUGAUUAAGAGGGACAGUCGGGGGCAUUCGUAUUUCAUUGUCAGAGGUGAAAUUCUUGGAUUUAUGAAAGACGAACUUCUGCGAAAGCAUUUGUCAAGGAUGUUUUCAUUAA
rnacentral:rRNA from 1 species